CCUCGGGCGGCUGCAGUGAGGAAUAUUGCACAAUGGGGGGAACCCUGAUGCAGCAACGCCGCGUGGAGGAUGACGCAUUUCGGUGUGUAAACUCCUUUUAUAUGUCAAGAAAAUGACGGUAGCAUAUGAAUAAGCACCGGCUAACUCCGUGCCAGCAGCCGCGGUAAUACGGAGGGUGCAAGCGUUACUCGGAAUCACUGGGCGUAAAGGACGCGUAGGCGGGUUGGAAAGUCAGGUGUGAAAUCCUACAGCUUAACUGUAGAACUGCACUUGAAACUUCUAAUCUAGAGUAUGGGAGGGGGAGAUGGAGUUAGUGGUGUAGGGGUAAAAUCCGUAGAUAUCACUAGGAAUACCUAAAGCGAAGGCGAUCUCCUGGAACAUUACUGACGCUAAGGCGUGAAAGCGUGGGGAGCAAACAGGAUUAGAUACCCCCGUAGUC
rnacentral:rRNA from 1 species